AAACCAUAGAUACUACAUACACACAUGGAUAUGAAACAGGAAGUCGGUAUCCAAUUAACUCUUUGAAGUUCACCUGUAAACGUCAUAACCAGCAUAGCUCUAUCCUUGGCGCUUUUCUCUCUGUCUAUGUUUUCAAGAAUUUUCUUGACUCACUUAUUUUUGUGAAAGAAGGCCUCAUGUUUACAUGACAAAAUUAGAAGACCUCCAUUUUUAUUUGUAACCACCUUUUCUAGACUCGGCGAACGGAGUUAGCUAGUAAGUCUUGGAAUCAUAAUAGUGUAUUGUUUGUUACAUGGACUGAAACUAUUCUCGUGUCAAUGUAAUGAGAAAUGACUGAGAUAAUAGCCAAAAACUAGUUUUUUUAAUAUUAAUUUUGUAACCACCUUUUUGAGACUUCUGCACCAGGUAUGAACAAGUUACUACUUUGAGUGUAUUCAUUAAGGUCUCUUAUAUAGACUGUUUAUGGUUUCAUUUUUCUAGA